rnacentral:lncRNA from 1 species
AUCUCUCAAUUCCAAGACUCCUUGAAAUAUGAAAUUAGGAUGACCACGUUAUUCUUUGUAGCUUCUGUCACUUUACAUCGCUGUUAAACUUCUAGAUAUUUCGUUCACUACUUGAACAUGUAUUUGUUUUUGGUUAGUUGUAAAGUUUGAAGCUUCUCCCUUUCAUAUGUGAUUUACUGACUCAAACACAUAGUUUCUAUCAUGGAGGUUAUGGGCUUUUUUUUUUUUUAAGUAGAAUAUGAGUUUAACAUGGAAUUAUA